rnacentral:tRNA from 1 species
AGCUGAAUGGCGCAGCGGAAGCGCGCCGGGCUCAUAACCCGGAGGACAGCGGAUGUCAGUACUCACCAGCUCAGCAAAAAAUAAUACUUGUACUAACAACUAAACAGCGAAACCGCUUUCAGCUA